rnacentral:rRNA from 1 species
AGUGAACGCUGGCGGUAGGCCUAACACAUGCAAGUCGAACGGCAGCACAGUAAGAGCUUGCUCUUACGGGUGGCGAGUGGCGGACGGGUGAGGAAUACAUCGGAAUCUACUUUUUCGUGGGGGAUAACGUAGGGAAACUUACGCUAAUACCUCAUACGACCUACGGGUGAAAGCAGGGGAUCUUCGGACCUUGCGCGGUUGCAUGAGCCGAUGUCGGAUUAGCUAGUUGGCGGGGUAAAGGCCCACCAAGGCGACGAUCCGUAGCUGGUCUGAGAGGAGGAUCAGCCACACUGGAACUGAGACACGGUCCAGACUCCUACGGGAGGCAGCAGUGGGGACUAUAGGACAAUGGGCGCAAGCCUGAUCCAGCCAUACCGCGUGGGUGAAGAAGGCCUUCGGGUUGUAAAGCCCUUUUGUUGGGAAAGAAAAGCAGCAGGUUAAUACCCCGCUGUUCUGACGGUACCCAAAGAAUAAGCACCGGCUAACUUCGUG